rnacentral:rRNA from 1 species
CGUAGGUGGCAAGCGAUACUCGGAAUCACUAGGCGUAAAGCGCAGGUAGGCGGUUUGGUAAGUCUUUUGUGAAAGCUCCCGGCUUAACUGGGAGAGGUCAAGGGAAACUACCGGACUAGAGUGUGGUAGGGGAUACUGGAAUUCCUGGUGUAGCGGUGAAAUGCGUAGAUAUCAGGAGGAAUACCUAUGGCGAAAGCAGGUAUCUGGGCCAUCACUGACGCUGAGCUGCGAAAGCUAGGGGAGCAAACAGGAUUAGAUACCCUGGUAGUCCUAGCCCUAAACGAUGCUCAUUAGAUGUGGGAGGUAUCGACCCCUUCCGCGUCGCAGCUAACGCAUUAAAUGAGCCGCCUGGGGAGUACGGCCGCAAGGUUG